rnacentral:lncRNA from 10 species
GUCAGGGGUGCUCCGCUAGGUGUCUCUGCUUAUCCGGAGUCCGCUGGCCGCCUCUGUGCCAGAGGUCGGGGCGCUGGACUGGUAGCGGGCGGAGACCUGCCUUUGGGCCGCGGUUACCGCGUGAGGGUGGAAUAGGCAGUCCCACACGCCAUUAAUGUUGUUUUGGUGGAGAAGGUGGGCUCCUAGUGCCCUAUCAUUAAGAAAAAACAGUUUGGGCUCUUCCCUUACCAGCCCUUUGAAAGGGCCUUUUACUGUUGCGCUUGAGGCCGCAGCAGGUUCCAAAAACAAAAGCAUUUCUGCGUGAUCUUAGACGACUGAGGGGACGAAUGUGGUAACCCUAGCAGGCUUCUGUCACUGGCAGGUGCUUUUGUGAAGUGCUGCGGACCCUCUUGAGGGUUGGGAAGAGGAUAGGCUGCAUCCUCCUUCCCUAAGCAUUUGACAAAGCCUCACAGGGAUGCGGGGGUUGCGGGGGCAGGGGGAGGUCUGGGGUUGUUAGUUCUUUCUCUCUUGCUGACCAUUUGGCUCUCCCUUAAUCAGAGCUCUUUUUUAUUUUGGGCAAAGCAGGAGGCUGUUCCAAUGAUUAAUUCUUCCCUGACUUACACUUGAAGAAGCCAAGGCAGGAAGUGAACUUUGAAAUGUGCAAUGUCUUAGUACUCAUCUGCAUUCUGUGACUGCUAGGAAGAUGGACUGAGUCAAGAGGAAAUUGUCUUGUUAGAAAUGUGGAAUACUGCGUCGGGCACGGUGGCUCACUCCUGUAAUCCGAGCACUUCGGAGGCCGAGGUGGGAGGAUCACCUGAGGUCAGGAGUUCGAGACCAGCCUGGCCAACAUGGCAAAACCCUGUCUCUACUAAAAAUACAAAAAUUAGCCAGGUGUGGUGGCGGGUCCCUGUAAUCCCAGCUACGCGGGAGGCUGAGGCAGGAGAAUGGCUUGAACCCAGGAGGCGGUAGUUGCAGUGAGCCGAGAUUGCCACUUACACUCUAUCCUGGGCGACAGAGGGAGACUCUGUAUCAAAAAAAAAAAUAAAUAAAGAAAUGGGGAAUACUGCAGCUCUUCUAUUCACAAAAAGUGAAGACUAGGCUUGUUUAAAAUGAAAUUUGGAGUGUAUCAUUAUUACUGAUAAAAUAGCAAAAAUGAUAACUUUUAAUACUCAUUUUCCUCUGUCUGAACUAUACUGAGCCUCAGAGAUAUGUUGUACUUUCUGGAAUGUGAAUAUUAAUGAGUAUUAAGAAAAGCUCUUAAACAGCCUCUUUCAAACUGGGCAGCUUACUUUUUGGUGCUUAUUAAUCUAUAACGUGUUAACAUCCAUAUGAUCUGGGAAUUUGAAGAAAAUACUUAAUUUCCCAUGCUUUAGUUGGAUAUUACAUUCUGGCAAAAAAGGUUGACUGUAUUAAUCUGUAGAACAUUGAUUUUGAACCAUAUAUUUCAAAAAUACAUGAGCCGUGUAUUUUUAUUUUUGAGACAGAGUCUUGCUCUGUCACCCAGGCUGGAGUGCAGUGGCGCGAUCGCGGCUUAAUGUAACCUUCGCCUCCCGGGUUCAAGCAGUUCUCCUGCCUCAGCCUCCCAAGAAGCUGGGAUUGUAGGCAUGCACUACCAUGCCUGGCUAAUUUUUGUAUUUUUAGUAGAGACAGGGCUUCACCACGUUGGCCAAUCUGGUCUCAAACUCUUGGCAAUCUGCCCUCCUUGGCCUCCCAAAGUGCUGGGAUUACAGGCAUGAGCCCCUGCACCUCACCUUCCUGUAUUUAAAAAGUUUAUUCUGUACUUUCUCCGUGUUUCUGACUGUCGCACAUUUAUUUAAUAUAGAUGAGUAAGGCUGUAAGGGUGGGUCUUUGCAUCUGGAUUUUUCCGAAGACAGAUUAUUUGCUAUCUAGAGAAGUAGCAUGUAUUAGUGAGCCAAUAGUGAAAGUUUGAAUGAAGGGACAAAUAUUUCAUUCCAGGAUCCUACCACUUUAGGUGAAUCACUUAGCUCCAAAUCUUAGUUUCUUUAUUUGCAAAUUGAAAUCAUGAUAAAAUUUGCUUCAGGGGUUAUGAUGCUUGUUUAAACUCUGUUUCAAUUCUUGUCUCUUGCUGGUCCUUAAGUCUCUUCCUUGCUCAGAGCUUUUGUUUAUCCAGGCAAAGCAUCAGGCUGCUGUAAUCAAGGAAGUUGGAGAAAUCCUCUGGUCACUUGGAUAGCUGAGCAAAAUCAGAAUUCUGUUAGUGGGAAGAAAGGGGGCAAUGGCAGGUGGGCAACCAGCAUUUUCUGCCAUUCUCUUGUUAUGUGUGGUCAUCAUAGAAAAAUGGGGAAAAAGUUAAUUAGAAUAUUUUGAUAUGUAUACUUACCCUGCCUUAGAAGGUAAUCGUGAAAUUCCUUGAGAUUUCACAUUAAUUUCAAUAGAAACAAAUUCACUGUCCUGAGUCCCUGAAUUAAUAUUUAUGCAAAACAUUUACAAAUUCCUUCAAAUGGACGUAAUUAUUAGUUAAAAUUAUUUGCUAUAACAGGCCAGCAUGUCUUUGUCACUCUGUGUCAUGGCUUUGUAAUAAUAUGGUUAUGCAGUAUGGCCAUAUAAGCUGCCUAAAUUCACUGUUUUUGUAUAUCCUUCAACUACUCACAAGGCCUUCCUAAGAUAUUCAGUGCUCAUAAAGUUGAAUCUUUCAUGUGGAAAAAAGAGGGGUGGAUAGGAAAAACAAAAGAAAUCACUGAACACCAUGCAGAAGAUGCAGAAGAUUAACAGACUAAACUAGCAAACCGCAAGACUGUAAGGAGAACUGACUUGGGUCAGGAGCUAAGCUCCCAAAGUCCAGUGGACCCAACUAGAGGCCUUCCCAAACUCCACCGCACACAGCAGCACCUGCAGGUCCUAGUUGGUCUUGACAAAUUUGAGGAGAUGUGGCUGAGACUGAAGAAGAGAUACCAAAUAGGACUCCUCAUAAAGUAGAAACCUUUUACUCAAAAGGGCAUUUUUCAGGGCAUGUUGUAGUUCCUGCCUGUUUCUUUACUGUCUGUGACCUUUUUUAAAUAUUAUUAAACAUUCUUUCACAACAUCGCUUUUGCAAACUGCUAGAUAUAUUUCAGUGUUGAUGGGCAUAACUGAUUCUCUCCUCUGUACAUGCUAAGUGUUUUACCUACUUUUGCUGUUCUAUGUAAUGCUACCAGGAACAGCUUUGCACAUAAUCUUUAUCAGCAUCUCUGAUUUGAUCCCUCAGAGUAAAGAAAUACUGAGUCAAGGAAUUAUUCCUUUCAAAAAAAUAAUUUUAAUUUUACAUUUAAUUCAUGUCUAUUGUGGAAAAUUUGGAAAACAUAGUAAAAGUGUAAAGAAGAAAGUAAAAAUCAACCUAUCAUCAAGAUACAAUCCUUGUUAACAUUUUGGUGUCUUUAUGUCUUUUUUAUCUGUACUUAUAUCUUUAUCUAUUUACAUAUAUAUAUAUAUAAAACACACACAAAUGUGAAUAUAAUUUUUACAGAUUUAUUCGUCAAAAACAAUUUUGAAUGGCUAUAUAAUAUUCUGUUAGGAGUGUGCCGUAAUUCAUUUAACAAUAUUUUUAUUUUUAUUUUUUUGGACAAUUAAAUAGUUCUCUUUUUAAAAUAGUUAUUCAAUUGAUGAUGGGCCGGCAUACGUUGGGUUCUGCUAGGCUCUGGAGAUGGUGCACAAGACAAGUUUCCUGCCUUCUGUGAACUUCAUGAGAAAUAAUUCUCAAUUACAGUACUGUCUUACCUAUGGAAGUGUCUAAUGGGAAGACUUAGGAUGGCUUCCUUGACAAAAUGACAGUUCUCUGACACCUAACCAGGCAAGAAGUUGGAAGAAUAUGGCCUAAGAGGGUGGGGCGGAUGACCCUUAUGGAAUGGGGAAGGCUUCACAGUUCUGCCUGCUCCAGUGAUGUGUAGUGAAUGAAAAAGGAGGCCUAAAAUCAAUGUUAUCUUUUAUGCCCUCUGUCUCCACCCGCUCCUACCUCAUUCUCACUAGGAUUGGUCAGUAGGGCCCUGCUGACAGAGUGAUCCCAGCUGAGAAUGUUGGCAUUCUCAAAGCCCAAGGAAACAACACCCGUGUGGAUAAACACAUGUGGGCGGCUGGGCCAACCAUAGCUAGAGACAUAAAGCAGGCAACAAACGUGUUUUCACAAAUAUAUACAUAUGUACAUAUAUACGCAUAUACAAAUAUAUACAUAUACGUAUAUACACAUAGACAAAUAUAGCUAUAUAUCUACAUAUACAAUAUAUGCAUACACACAUACAAAUAUGUGUAUAUAUACACACAUAUACAUUUUUAUAUCAUAUAUUAUAUAUUACAUAUAUACAUAUACAAAUAUAUGUAUAUUUAUACGUAUACAUACAUGAACGUAUACUUUUUUUUUCUCAUAAUCCUUACCACUUCUGUGAGGUGGUCAUUAUUGUUUCACUUUGCAGAUGAGGAAACUGAGGCAUAAGUAAGUGCCCCAAGGUCACAGGUUGGUGAGUCACAGAGCUAGAGUUCACGCUCAUAGUGGAGGGCCCGUGCUCUCGGAGCUAUGGCUCCUGGUCUCUUACCUCACGCGUGUGCCUCACCCCACCCCUCAGUCUUCAGGCCUUCAUCUAGGCAGCCCCCCGCCUCCACCCACUGCCCACGUCCCACCGAUGUAGUUGUUUCCUGAGGCACUUCUCUUGUUUGGUAAUGUCUUAUGUCCUAGGAAAGAAGGCCCAUAGGUGCUGCUGUAUGAGCUUCCUCCGCUAGACAGAGCUGGCCCCAGCCUUUAGAUGAGGUGUAGAAGGCUGGUUACCCGGGUCACCUGUAGCCGGCCACUGUGCAACACCAUGGGCAGCCUAGGAGUUUCCAGAGUCCCCUCUCCCCAAGGUAUUUCUUUUUUCAUUUUUUAACUCCCUGCCCUCCAACAUUUUAUUAUGAAAAACACCAAGUCUGAAGGUUACGUCCACCACGACUAUCGUCUUAACACCGCUUGCUUCAUCGUGUAAUUCUCCAUCUCCUUUCCCGUCAUCUGUCCGUCAUUGUCUGACUUUUUGAUGUAUUUCCAAGUACACAUCAGUACACAUCUCGAAAUACUUCAGCAUGCAUACCAUAGCUAGAGUUCAAUAUGUUUACAGGUUUGUCUUUUGAUGUAAAAUUUACCUGCUGUUGUUGGGAGUACAUCUGCUGAGUAUGGGCAGAUGCGUAUGCCUGCAACCCUAGCCCCCGUUGAUAUCCUACAACAUUAUCAUCACCCCAGAAAGUUCCUUCAUGCCCCUGCCCACUCAGCCUCACCGUGCUCACAGGCGGCCAGUGUUCUUUUUCUGACACAGAUUGGUUUUGACUUCUGAACCGUCAUAUAAAUAGAAUUACAUAGUAUGUAUGCUUUUGUAUAAGGCGACUUUCACUUAUCACGUUUUUGCAUUUCGUUCAUGCGGUUUUCAUUCAUGUGUAUCAGUAGUUCAUUUUUAUUGCUGAGUAGUAUCCCAUCGUGUUCAUACACCAGUGUGUUCACUCAUUCUCUUACUGAUGGGCAGCUGUUUCCAGUUUGGAGCUAUUAUAAAUAAAGUUGCUAUGAACAUUUUACAAGUGUUUUCCAACAUACGUUUUCAUUUCUCUUGGGAUUGGAAUUGCUGGGUCAUAGUGCAGGUGUUUGUGGUUUUAUAAACAAAAUAAAUGCCUAUGAAAUUUCAAUGAAUAUUUUAUGCCCCAGAAAGAGUAUUUUUCAUGGUCUGUAUCUGGAUGUAGAUAUUUAUUAUUUUAUUUUAUUUUAAUUUUUUUGAGACAGAGUCUCACUUUGUUGCCCAAGCUGGAGUGCAGUGAGUGGCAUGCGAUCUCGGCUCACUGCAACCUCCGCCUCCCAAAUUUAAGCAAUUCUCCUGCCUCAGCCUCCUGAGUAGCUGGGAUUAGAGGCGCGUGCCACCACGCCUGGCUGAUUUUUGUAUUUUUAGUAGAGACGGGGUUUCACCAUGUUGGCCAGGCUGGUCUUGAACUCCUGACCUCGUGAUCCGCCCGCCUCAGCCUCCCAAAGUGCUGGGAUUACAGACGUGAGCCACGGCGCCCAGCCGGGAUGUGGGUAUUUCUGGAAUACAAAACAUCCAUAGCCCUCCUUUUACUCUCAAAGCAAAACACAGACACGCACAUUCACAUGCACACACCAGUGUGUCCGUGUCCUGUUGGUUUGCAUGGAGUUUCUGUUUUGCCACGAAGCUUUUUGCCAGCCCUUUUCCCAAAGUGUUUGUACCAUUUUAUACUCCCACCAGUGAUGUUUGAGAGGUCUGGUUGCUUCACAUGUUUGCCAGUGUUUGGUGUAUUAGUCUUUUUAGUUUUGGAUAUCCUGGUAGUUGUGUAGUGGUGUCUCCUUGUGGUUCUCCAUGGGUUUUUAUUCUAUAUUUCAGUUUGGGGAAAAUGAAUGAAUGGAAGAAAAGAAGGGAGGAAGGAUGAAGCAAAUAGCUGUGCUUUGAGAUCUGACACUGUAUACUUCACAGCCCUGAUGGACAUUCUCCAAAUUCUACUCCUUUUUCACAUUUUCUUCUUAGAGUUUGCAUUGUUCUUUUUAUAUUCUUCAGAUUCCUUCUUUUGUUCAUAAUUACUUAAACCUAUUCAUUUUCUAAUGCCUUUCAGUUGUUAAUUUACUGAAGUUCUUUGGUGCUUACUAGUGCUGCUUGCUGUAGCUGCAGGGUCUGUCUCACAGUGAAUUUUUUCUUUUGUGUUUUAUAAUUUUGGAAAGGGAGCUCAUGUUAAAUUUGUAUUUGUAGGAAUUCUGUCUGGCCUGGCUUGAGGUUGUUGUUUGCUUUAGCCUAUAACCUCAGGAUGGCAUCAGCCUGUGACCACUUCCUGUGUAAAAGUUCAUAGUUUAGGCGAUCCUCUCAAUUCAAAGUCUGUAUCUAUUUCAAGACAGGCCCAAGGUUAUAAAUUUGCACAAACUUUUUUUUUUUUUUUUUAAUACCUUGUGCCCAGUCCAAGACAAAUAUGUUUGUUUGCCAUGGGCUGCUUUUUUUCUAGUUCAUCCUUUCAUCAAAGGGUUGCACAUUGAGCAGUGCCGUGUUAAGGGGGGAUUCUUCAUUCUACCUUCUUUUCUUGUAUUCCUUGACCUCAGCUGGGCUUUAAACCUUGACUUCUGGAUGGCGAGGUUGGCACUCCCCUGUGUGAGCUACUGCCUGCCUCCGGUGCUCUGUUUCUGUCCCUAGAGUUCUUUUCCUUUCCACGGAGUUUUGGUAUGCAUUUCAAUGAAUGUUUGUAUUAUGUUGUCCAACAUACUUGUGUCCUUUAUAGCUGGAGGGUUCUUAAAAUUUUCUAAUGCUCCAUAUUGCCAGAAAUAAAAAGGCUGAGGGAAUAAAUAUUAUAGUCUUCUCUGAUUCUUAAAAAUAUGAAAAAUAGCUCAUCAGAUGACUGUAAGUCUAUCCUCAGAAAUCCAAGGCACACCAAGCAUGUGGUGGAAUGUUAACAAAAGUUUUUAAAAAUGAUCUUUUCUGCCAGGUACAAUGGCUCACACCUGUAAUCUCAGCACUUUGGGAGGCUGAGGUGGGAGGAUCCCUUGAUCUUAGGAGUUUGAGACCAGCCUGGGCAACAUAGUGAGAUCCCCCGGCCCCCCCAUCUCUACAAAUAAUUAAAAAAUCAGCUGGUCACGGUGGGGUGCACCUGUGGUCCCAGCUACUCAAGGAGGCUGAGGGAGGAGGAUUGCCUGAGCCCAGGAGGUCGAGGCUCCAGUGAGCUAUGAUUGUGCCACUGCACUCCAGCCUGACUGACAAAGUGAGACCCUGUCUCCAAAGGAGAAAAAAA